UACGUAGGGUGCAAGCGUUGUCCGGAAUUAUUGGGCGUAAAGAGCUCGUAGGCGGUCUGUCGCGUCGGAUGUGAAAAUCCAGGGCUCAACCCUGGACCUGCAUUCGAUACGGGCAGACUAGAGUUCGGUAGGGGAGACUGGAAUUCCUGGUGUAGCGGUGAAAUGCGCAGAUAUCAGGAGGAACACCGGUGGCGAAGGCGGCUCUCUGGGACGGUACUGACGCUGAGACGCGAAAGCGUGGGGAGCGAACAGG
rnacentral:rRNA from 1 species